rnacentral:sRNA from 1 species
AAGCAACCAUGCCUAGUGUGUACCUGC